rnacentral:sRNA from 1 species
UAAAAAUAAGGGCAUGGACAUUUUAACCUUGAACUGAGACUACUAUAAUAAUAGUCUCAGUUCAAGGUUAAAAUGUCAAUGCCCUUAUUU